rnacentral:rRNA from 1 species
GACGAACGCUGGCGGCGUGCUUAACACAUGCAAGUCGAACGGAAAGGCCCUGCUUUUGUGGGGUGCUCGAGUGGCGAACGGGUGAGUAACACGUGAGUAACCUGCCCUUGACUUUGGGAUAACUUCAGGAAACUGGGGCUAAUACCGGAUAGGAGCUCCUGCUGCAUGGUGGGGGUUGGAAAGUUUCGGCGGUUGGGGAUGGACUCGCGGCUUAUCAGCUUGUUGGUGGGGUAGUGGCUUACCAAGGCUUUGACGGGUAGCCGGCCUGAGAGGGUGACCGGCCACAUUGGGACUGAGGUACGGCCCAGACUCCUACGGGAGGCAGCAGUGGGGAAUAUUGCACAAUGGGCGGAAGCCGGAUGCAGCAACGCCGCGUGCGGGAGGACGGCCUUCGGGUUGUAGACCGCUUUCGCCUGUGACGAAGCGUGAGUGACGGUAAUGGGUAAAGAAGCACCGGCUAACUACGUG